GACGAACCGUGCGAACGUUGUUCGGAAUCACUGGGCUUAAAGGGCGCGUAGGCGGCUUGCCAAGUCGGGGGUGAAAUACUUCAGCCUUAACUGGAGAAGUGGCCUUCGAUACUGGCGGGCCUUGAGGGAGGUAGGGGUGCUUUGGAACUUCUGGUGGAGCGGUGAAAUGCGUUGAUAUCAGAAGAAGCCGGUGGCGAAAGCGAAGGACUGGACCUCUUCUGACGCUGAGGCGCGAAAGCUGAGGGGAGCAAACGGGG
rnacentral:rRNA from 1 species